AAUUCUCAAUCUUCACGGUUUUGUACUGCUUGAAGAUUGGAUGUGGGGGUUUGUGUGGGCUGAAAAUUCCACUCCCCUUAAAUGUAUUAGCUGGAAUGCCUUUGCAAAUCCAACUAUCAGUGUGAUAAUUAUCUAUGCUGGAGUUGUUGCUUAUAAGGAAUCUGCUUCUAACCUACUAUCCUUUGGGAUAACAAAGAACCA
rnacentral:misc_RNA from 1 species